AAUCGCUAGUAAUCGCGAAUCAGAAUGUCGCGGUGAAUACGUUCCCGGGUCUUGUACACACCGCCCGUCACACCAUGGGAGUCGGAAAUGCCCGAAGUCAGUGACCCAACCGUAAGGAGGGAGCUGCCGAAGGUGGAGCCGGUAACUGGGGUGAAGUCGUAACAAGGUAUC
rnacentral:rRNA from 1 species